CUGAUGUGAACUUCCUCUUCUCCCACUCUCUUCCUCUCUAAACUCACUGACAUUAUCUCCCAGCCUCUCCUCCUUUCAGCCUCUGACGAAGAGGCGGCCCUUCUUCUUGCCAAGCCCUUUGCAGUAUGACUUCCAACAUCUUUCGACUCAAAUGGCUCUCUACAAAGUCCCGAUGAUCUCUUCGUUACAGAAUCUGAUAGUUUUCCCACACGAGUAAAGGGGUGAAGAUUUGAAGAUAAAACCAAGAAUUCUACUGAGUAUUCUAGCCCAAGAAGGCUUCUCAGAAGCCUUGUAAACUAUGUCCUGAUAGGCAGAAAAGAAACUGUGAGGACUCCAAGCUUUUUCUAGGAUUCUGGAGAGGAGGAACAGGUAGGGGUAAAAAAACCUGCUGAAUGAAUCUUUGGAAUUUUCGAGAGGAUGAGUCCAGUGUGUUAUCUGGAGCAGAAGUCAACAGAACUCCCACUGAGUGAGAUAUAAGGGGAUCCUAGGUAUACUGACAUCAUCUUGGGAGAACGUAGCAAAACACUGGCUAUAGGGAUGCCAAGCAAGUCUGCUGUAGGGAUAGGUGAUCAGCUAUAGAGAUCAGCUGUGUUAGCUGACUUUUUUGAAUCUCAAAUUAAGAAUAUGAGAAUUCCCUCAGCAUAUAGCAUAUAGCAUAUCUCAUUUUUGCAGAAAGUAUAUAAUAAUUUGCUUUCAGAGACCUCAGCUUAAAGGAGUGUGUAAUUAGAAUCUGUUCCCCAGGACUCAAAAUCCCAGCAUCCCAUGAUCCUUCUCACGUUAUGUCCUUAAUGUUUAGAAGAUUAAGUUUGUGUGUGACCAAUGCCCCUCUCUUUUUUCCCCACUAAUGUGGUUGGGAAAACUUCUUUUUACUCAGGUUUUUACUUUUGUCCUUUUAUUUCUUCUAUUUCUAGUGAUUAUUAAUAAAUCAUAUAAAAUAUAAUACUUGGAAUUAUUAGAUAUUAAUUUUAAUCUUACAGGAGUAUAAAUACAUAUGAAAAGUCUGGUUAGAGGUUGAAACUAUCACUGAAAACAAAUGAGUCAAAUAAAUACGAUACUGACUUACAUCUCCU